rnacentral:ncRNA from 1 species
GUGGCUGUUAAUAUGCACGGCUAUUCCCAUGAUUUUAUGCAUAUUUUUGAUUGGAGUUACACCAUGUCUCUGCAUGUAGAGAAAAAGGCUGAGAUCGUCGCCAAGUACGCUCGUGGCGA